rnacentral:rRNA from 1 species
UAGGGAAUCUUCGGCAAUGGGGGCAACCCUGACCGAGCAACGCCGCGUGAGUGAAGAAGGUUUUCGGAUCGUAAAGCUCUGUUGUAAGUCAAGAACGAGUGUGAGAGUGGAAAGUUCACACUGUGACGGUAGCUUACCAGAAAGGGACGGCUAACUACGUGCCAGCAGCCGCGGUAAUACGUAGGUCCCGAGCGUUGUCCGGAUUUAUUGGGCGUAAAGCGAGCGCAGGCGGUUUGAUAAGUCUGAAGUUAAAGGCUGUGGCUCAACCAUAGUUCGCUUUGGAAACUGUCAAACUUGAGUGCAGAAGGGGAGAGUGGAAUUCCAUGUGUAGCGGUGAAAUGCGUAGAUAUAUGGAGGAACACCGGUGGCGAAAGCGGCUCUCUGGUCUGUAACUGACGCUGAGGCUCGAAAGCGUGGGGAGCGAACAGGAUUAGAUACCCUGGUAGUCCACGCCGUAAACGAUGAGUGCUAGGUGUUGGAUCCUUUCCGGGAUUCAGUGCCGCAGCUAACGCAUUAAGCACUCCGCCUGGGGAGUACNACCGCAAGGUUG